rnacentral:rRNA from 1 species
UACGUAGGGUGCAAGCGUUGUUCGGAAUUACUGGGCGUAAAGGGCUCGUAGGUGGCCAACUAAGUCAGACGUGAAAUCCCUCGGCUUAACCGGGGAACUGCGUCUGAUACUGGAUGGCUUGAGUUUGGGAGAGGGAUGCGGAAUUCCAGGUGUAGCGGUGAAAUGCGUAGAUAUCUGGAGGAACACCGGUGGCGAAGGCGGCAUCCUGGACCAAUACUGACACUGAGGAGCGAAAGCCAGGGGAGCAAACGGG